rnacentral:rRNA from 1 species
UUGCCCAGACAACUAGGAUGUUGGCUUAGAAGCAGCCAUCAUUUAAAGAGUGCGUAAUAGCUCACUAGUCGAGUGACACUGCGCCGAAAAUGUACCGGGGCUAAACAUGUUACCGAAGCUGUGGAUUGUCCUUUGGACAAUGGUAGGAGAGCGUUCUAAGGGCGUUGAAGCAUGAUCGUAAGGACAUGUGGAGCGCUUAGAAGUGAGAAUGCCGGUGUGAGUAGCGAAAGACGGGUGAGAAUCCCGUCCACCGAUUGACUAAGGUUUCCAGAGGAAGGCUCGUCCGCUCUGGGUUAGUCGGGUCCUAAGCUGAGGCCGACAGGCGUAGGCGAUGGAUAACAGGUUGAUAUUCCUGUACCACCUAUAAUCGUUUUAAUCGAUGGGGGGACGCAGUAGGAUAGGCGAAGCGUGCGAUUGGAUUGCACGUCUAAGCAGUAAGGCUGGGUAUUAGGCAAAUCCGGUACUCGUUAAGGCUGAGCUGUGAUGGGGAGAAGACAUUGUGUCUUCGAGUCGUUGAUUUCACACUGCCGAGAAAAGCCUCUAGAUAGAAAAUAGGUGCCCGUACCGCAAACCGACACAGGUAGUCAAGAUGAGAAUUCUAAGGUGAGCGAGCGAACUCUCGUUAAGGAACUCGGCAAAAUGACCCCGUAACUUCGGGAGAAGGGGUGCUCUUUAGGGUUAACGCCCAGAAGAGCCGCAGUGAAUAGGCCCAAGCGACUGUUUAUCAAAAACACAGGUCUCUGCUAAACCGUAAGGUGAUGUAUAGGGGCUGACGCCUGCCCGGUGCUGGAAGGUUAAGAGGAGUGGUUAGCUUCUGCGAAGCUACGAAUCGAAGCCCCAGUAAACGGCGGCCGUAACUAUAACGGUCCUAAGGUAGCGAAAUUCCUUGUCGGGUAAGUUCCGACCCGCACGAAAGGCGUAACGAUUUGGGCACUGUCUCAACGAGAGACUCGGUGAAAUCAUAGUACCUGUGAAGAUGCAGGUUACCCGCGACAGGACGGAAAGACCCCGUGGAGCUUUACUGUAGCCUGAUAUUGAAAUUCGGCACAGCUUGUACAGGAUAGGUAGGAGCCUUUGAAACGUGAGCGCUAGCUUACGUGGAGGCGCUGGUGGGAUACUACCCUAGCUGUGUUGGCUUUCUAACCCGCACCACUUAUCGUGGUGGGAGACAGUGUCAGGCGGGCAGUUUGACUGGGGCGGUCGCCUCCUAAAAGGUAACGGAGGCGCUCAAAGGUUCCCUCAGAAUGGUUGGAAAUCAUUCAUAGAGUGUAAAGGCAUAAGGGAGCUUGACUGCGAGACCUACAAGUCGAGCAGGGUCGAAAGACGGACUUAGUGAUCCGGUGGUUCCGCAUGGAAGGGCCAUCGCUCAACGGAUAAAAGCUACCCCGGGGAUAACAGGCUUAUCUCCCCCAAGAGUUCACAUCGACGGGGAGGUUUGGCACCUCGAUGUCGGCUCAUCGCAUCCUGGGGCUGUAGUCGGUCCCAAGGGUUGGGCUGUUCGCCCAUUAAAGCGGUACGCGAGCUGGGUUCAGAACGUCGUGAGACAGUUCGGUCCCUAUCCGUCGUGGGCGUAGGAAAUUUGAGAGGAGCUGUCCUUAGUACGAGAGGACCGGGAUGGACAUACCUCUGGUGUACCAGUUGUCGUGCCAACGGCAUAGCUGGGUAGCUAUGUGUGGACGGGAUAAGUGCUGAAAGCAUCUAAGCAUGAAGCCCCCCUCAAGAUGAGAUUUCCCAACUUCGGUUAUAAGAUCCCUCAAAGAUGAUGAGGUUAAUAGGUUCGAGGUGGAAGCAUGGUGACAUGUGGAGCUGACGAAUACUAAUCGAUCGAAGACUUAAUCAA